GACCAUUCAUUCAUACCACAGCACAGCUUUGCAGAAGGAAGGAGCUACCCUCCAUUACUUGCUUGAUCAGACAUCUUGUCUGAACUGGCCUUCGAAGAGCACAUAAUAUGAAAAUCCUGAUGAAAAGGGGAUGAAUGGGAUUUGUGCUAGAGUGGAAAGAGAACAGGAAAGUACAAGUGAUCCUGUUCUCAAAUUCCAAUAUCUAAAACCUUUAUUAAGAGAUAACUCUAGAGUAAUCCUUGAUUAAGCAGAAACUACUCCGGCAGCUGUAGUAACCUUGAUGUGGGGUAAGUCUAAAAGAAAGAAGCAGACUGCAAAGGAUUGUUGAUCAGAAAAGUGAAUUCCAACAGCGCAAUCCAAGCUGCCCAGCUGAUUUCCGACAAGGAGAACAGAAGCUGUACAUCCCUGAAAAAACCAGGAUUCUGAUAGCUGAUAACAAUAAAGAUAUUGUAGGUUGUUCUGGGUAGAGAUGAAAAGAAAUCCACUCUUAGAUUUCUGCAGAAGGAGAUUUGUUCCAGAAUGAACUCCACCGUGGCACAAAAGACAGUACUAAACUCAGCUUGGCAAAUCUUGUGUUUAUCUGGUUGAGAAAUAAAGCCAAAUAAUUCAGUUUGCUUUUGAAAGAUGCAUGCAAAAAAAAAUCCCCUAUGGCAACAAAAAGAAAAAAAUAUAUGAAGAAAUUAUGUAAGCAGCAGUAAGAGACGUUGCAUGCAAAAGCUCCAAAGAAUGAAAAUGGAUGCACUUUUUUUAAAAAAAAUCCACAAACAAGUCCGAGAUUAAGAUUCUGUCUACUAAAACGUAAGAUCCACCAGAUCCACCAGGUUCAAGCCAUUCCCAGAUAACAUGGCAAGAUUUCUCCCAAGCCCUGCAUCAAGGCUUGCAUUCAACUGACAAGUAAUCUGAGUGACUUUGCUUGACAAAUGCUAACCAAUAUUUUUGGACACCACUGCAAGAGAUUCUGUAUGCCUUCUCCUACCCCCAUCCAGGAAUGCUCGUGUCGCCUGAAACAGAGCGGUGAGACACAAUAAAGGCAGAGAAGUACUGGCACUUUGCUGCCCUUACCACCAUUAGGUAGGCCUUAGAAAUGACUCUAACUCAUGUUCCAUAAAGUUUGUUUAUGGCAA